rnacentral:rRNA from 1 species
AGGAUGAACGCUGGCGGCGUGCUUAACACAUGCAAGUCGAACGAUGAUCUCCAGCUUGCUGGGGGGAUUAGUGGCGAACGGGUGAGUAACACGUGAGUAACCUGCCCUUGACUCUGGGAUAAGCCUGGGAAACUGGGUCUAAUACUGGAUACGACUGACUAUCGCAUGGUGGUUGGUGGAAAGCUUUUGUGGUUUUGGAUGGACUCGCGGCCUAUCAGCUUGUUGGUGGGUAAUGGCCUACCAAGGCGACGACGGGUAGCCGGCCUGAGAGGGUGGACGGCCACACUGGGAACUGAGACACGGCCCAGACUCCGUACGGGAGGCCAGCAGGUGGGGAAUAGUUGACAGAAUGGGCGACAAGCCUGAUGACAGCGACGCCGCGUGGACGGGAUAGGAACGGCCGUUUACGGUUACGUAAACCUCUUUACGAGGUAAGGA